AUUGAACGCUGGCGGCAGGCUUAACACAUGCAAGUCGAACGAGUGGCGGACGGGUGAGUAAUGCUUGGGAAUCUAGCUUAUGGAGGGGGAUAACUACGGGAAACUGUAGCUAAUACCGCGUACCAUAGGAUGAGCCCAAGUGGGAUUGGGUAGUUGGUGAGGUAAAGGCGCACCAAGCAGACGAACCCUAGCUGGUCUGAGAGGAAGACCAGCCACACAUGGACGGAGAAACGGCCCAGAUGCCUACGCGAGGCAGCAGUGGGGAAUAUGGCGCAAUGGGGGCAACCUGACGCAGCCAUACCGCGUGAAUGAAGAAGGCCUGAGGGUUGUAAAGUACUUUCGGUAGCGAGGCGUUAACUACAGAAGAAGCACCAGCUAACUCCGUGCCAGCAGCCGCGGUAAUAC
rnacentral:rRNA from 1 species